AAUAUACUCCGCUUGUCGGAGUCAAUCGCCUGAUUCGGACUAGUCCGUUUUAUGGUUAAGGUUCGCGGCAGGCGGACGCAGAAGCCCGCCAGCGCAAGGGCUUGGCUGU
rnacentral:sRNA from 1 species